rnacentral:rRNA from 1 species
GACGAACGCUGGCGGCGUGCUUAACACAUGCAAGUCGAACGGAAAGGCCCUGCUUUUGUGGGGUGCUCGAGUGGCGAACGGGUGAGUAACACGUGAGUAACCUGCCCUUGACUUUGGGAUAACUUCAGGAAACUGGGGCUAAUACCGGAUAGGAGCUCCUGCUGCAUGGUGGGGGUUGGAAAGUUUCGGCGGUUGGGGAUGGACUCGCGGCUUAUCAGCUUGUUGGUGGGGUAGUGGCUUACCAAGGCUUUGACGGGUAGCCGGCCUGAGAGGGUGACCGGCCACAUUGGGACUGAGAUACGGCCCAGACUCCUACGGGAGGCAGCAGUGGGGAAUAUUGCACAAUGGGCGGAAGCCUGAUGCAGCAACGCCGCGUGCGGGAUGACGGCCUUCGGGUUGUAAACCGCUUUCGCCUGUGACGAAGCGUGAGUGACGGUAAUGGGUAAAGAAGCACCGGCUAACUACGUGCCAGCAGCCGCGGUGAUACGUAGGGCGCGAGCGUUGUCCGGAUUUAUUGGGCGUAAAGGGCUCGUAGGUGGUUGAUCGCGUCGGAAGUGUAAUCUUGGGGCUUAACCCUGAGCGUGCUUUCGAUACGGGUUGACUUGAGGAAGGUAGGGGAGAAUGGAAUUCCUGGUGGAGCGGUGGAAUGCGCAGAUAUCAGGAGGAACACCAGUGGCGAAGGCGGUUCUCUGGGCCUUUCCUGACGCUGAGGAGCGAAAGCGUGGGGAGCGAACAGGCUUAGAUACCCUGGUAGUCCACGCUGUAAACGGUGGGUACUAGGUGUGGGGUCCAUUCCACGGGUUCCGUGCCGUAGCUAACGCUUUAAGUACCCCGCCUGGGGAGUACGGCCGCAAGGCUAAAACUCAAAGGAAUUGACGGGGCCCCGCACAAGCGGCGGAGCAUGCGGAUUAAUUCGAUGCAACGCGUAGAACCUUACCUGGGUUUGACAUGGAUCGGGAGUGCUCAGAGAUGGGUGUGCCUCUUUUGGGGUCGGUUCACAGGUGGUGCAUGCCUGUCGUCAGCUCGUGUCGUGAGAUGUUGGGUUAAGUCCCACAACGAGCGCAACCCUUGUUCACUGUUGCCAGCACGUUAUGGUGGGGACUCAGUGGAGACCGCCGGGGUCAACUCGGAGGAAGGUGGGGAUGACGUCAAGUCAUCAUGCCCCUUAUGUCCAGGGCUUCACGCAUGCUACAAUGGCUGGUACAGAGAGUGGCGAGCCUGUGAGGGUGAGCGAAUCUCGGAAAGCCGGUCUCAGUUCGGAUUGGGGUCUGCAACUCGACCUCAUGAAGUCGGAGUCGCUAGUAAUCGCAGAUCAGCAACGCUGCGGUGAAUACGUUCCCGGGGCU